rnacentral:rRNA from 1 species
AUUGAACGCUGGCGGAAUGCUUUACACAUGCAAGUCGAACGGCAGCACGGGUGCUUGCACCUGGUGGCGAGUGGCGAACGGGUGAGUAAUGCACCGGAACGUAUCCAAUAAUGGGGGAUAACGCACCGAAAGGUGUGCUAAUACCGCAUACGCCCUGAGGGGGAAAGCGGGGGAUCGUAAGACCUCGCGUUAAUGGAGCGGCCGAUGCCGGAUUAGCUAGUUGGUGAGGUAAAGGCUCACCAAGGCGACGAUCCGUAGCUGGUCUGAGAGGACGACCAGCCACACUGGAACUGAGACACGGUCCAGACUCCUACGGGAGGCAGCAGUGGGGAAUUUUGGACAAUGGGCGCAAACCUGAUCCAGCCAUUCCGCGUGAGUGAAGAAGGCCUUCGGGUUGGUUAAAG